rnacentral:rRNA from 1 species
UGAUCUAACACGUUGAGUAACCUGCCCUGGACUCUGGGAUAAGCGUUGGAAACGACGUCUAAUACCGGAUAGGACCCUGUACCGCAUGGUGUGGGGUGGAAAGUUUUUCGGUUUGGGAUGGACUCGCGGCCUAUCAGCUUGUUGGUGAGGUAAUGGCUCACCAAGGCGUCGACGGGUAGCCGGCCUGAGAGGGUGACCGGCCACACUGGGACUGAGACACGGCCCAGACUCCUACGGGAGGCAGCAGUGGGGAAUAUUGCACAAUGGGCGAAAGCCUGAUGCAGCAACGCCGCGUGCGGGAUGACGGCCUUCGGGUUGUAAACCGCUUUUAGUAAGGAAGAAGCCUUCGGGUGACGGUACUUGCAGAAAAAGGACCGGCUAACUACGUGCCAGCAGCCGCGGUAAUACGUAGGGUCCGAGCGUUGUCCGGAAUUAUUGGGCGUAAAGAGCUCGUAGGCGGUUUGUCGCGUCUGCUGUGAAAACUAGAGGCUCAACCUCUAGCCUGCAGUGGGUACGGGCAGACUUGAGUGGUGUAGGGGAGACUGGAAUUCCUGGUGUAGCGGUGGAAUGCGCAGAUAUCAGGAGGAACACCGAUGGCGAAGGCAGGUCUCUGGGCACUUACUGACGCUGAGGAGCGAAAGCGUGGGGAGCGAACAGGAUUAGAUACCCUGGUAGUCCACGCCGUAAACGUUGGGCGCUAGAUGUGGGGACCUUUCCACGGUUUCCGUGUCGUAGCUAACGCAUUAAGCGCCCCGCCUGGGGAGUACGGCCGCAAGGCUAAACUCAAAGGAAUUGACGGGGGCCCGCACAAGCGGCGGAACAUGCGGAUUAAUUCGAUGCACGCGAAAAACCUUAC